UAUGCAUGGAGUAUUAAAUAUAGAUGAAAAUUAAAACUAAUUACAUAGUUUGGUCGGAAUUGACGAGACGAAUCUUUUGAGCCUAGUUAGUUCAUAAUUGGAUAAUAUUUGUCAAAUACAAACGAAAGUGCUACUAUUCCUAUUUUGCAAAAUUUUUUAGAAGUAAACAAGGCACAAAUAAAAACGAAAAUACUAUAAUAUCUAAAACAAAAAAAAUUACAAACUAAACAUGGCCUCAACAUUUGGAAAUGAAGCCUGGAUGAUAUUGCGGGCCAAAUCAAUAGCC
rnacentral:lncRNA from 1 species